UUCGUCUUCUCUCUACUAACACCGCCAAUUCGUUUUCUCUCUACCUCCCUACUUUCUCUCUGGCGAUGUCCGAAACUCCGAAUCACAGUGUUCUACCCUUGCCGUUCUUGGUCUCUACUUUCCGUUUUGAUCCUGUGUUUUUCUACACCCAAUCGCACAUAUAAACAGUUGGUGUUGUGUAAAUCUUACGUCUAAAUUAGUAUUUUAGGGUUUAUGUGUUUUUCGUUAGCAGAUCGGAACUUCUACAUGAUGUUAAUGUUAAGAGUUGGCGAAAUCAGAGGAAGGAUGUUGAAUAAGCUAAGUAACCGAUCCCUAUAUCUAUUUCUCUAUAUAAUUCAUUUUUAAUUUCAACACCUAUCUACAAUUUAGUCUAAAAAUACUGGUAGAUGAUUUCAUCCUAUGAUUGACCAUAUUAGGAUUUUUUUUUGAUAAAUUGUUAACAUGCAAGCGAGAGAACAACAAUGGUAAAAAAAAAUUUGUACACAUGCAUCGAUUUUUCUAUCCCUUUACUCCGUUCAUUCAUUUUUCUGUAUGUUUACUUUUAUAUUUCUGUAUGUUAGAGUAAUAGUCUAUUAUUCUUAUCAUUCACUAUUUGAAUAUAAUUAGGGUUUUUCUAACUACAGCAGAGUGAAUAUUUGUGAACUCAAUCUAAAGUUUCCUCUGUAAAAAAUAUAUAUCUGCGGAGUAUUAUAUUUGAAAUGAUUUUUUAUGCUAACAGAUUUAGAAAUGAUUAUGCUGACAAAUUAUUAGCUCUGGAAUGAAAUUGCAAAUGAACAUAAAACUAAUUGAUUCAAGUUUUUCAUUUCAGAUUCAGAAAAGGAAGGCUAUUACCAUGGUAAGAGGCAUAUGUAGUGCAUAGAAGAAGGCAUGAUCAAGAAAUAUGCUUCUGAGGUAUUCAACCCAACAUCAAACAAUUUGAAAGUGUCUGAGAAGGACUUGCUAAUAUUGCUGGAUGCAGUUGGACAAAGAGGUUUUUUCCAAUGUAAAGGGGAGCCAUUCUCAGCCAUUGAUUGCAAAGAAUGGCUGGAAACACGAAAGGGUUAAACGAAGAUGGGUGGAUUGUUAGUAUGCUGAAUUUAUAGAACACCUUUGAAGGUUGAAGAGUUCGACAUGUUGCUGGAUUGAAGGCUGUAGAGUUCCAAAAAAACGCUGUCAUUAUUGAAGAGCAAUAAUAGCUGUGCCCCGGAAUCUGAAACGCCACAAAGUAGAAAGCUGCUUUUGAAUUGAUUUGAAUCAAUCUUAAUUUAUUUCUUUAACAUGUGUAUUUAUUCGGAACAACUUCCCACAACUUGAGAGAACCAAAACUGGUGGCCAAGCAUAAAUUUAGCAUUCAAUACUUAUACAAAUACAUUUAUUUGUUAUA